rfam:Dysgonomonas gadei ATCC BAA-286 genomic scaffold supercont1.5, whole genome shotgun sequence.
GACUCCGUAGCUCAGUUGGUAGAGCAAUUGACUCUUAAUCAAUGGGUCGAGGGUUCGAGCCCCUCCGGGGUCA